ACCCCAGCUUAGCAGCAGUAACGCCAUUUUGCAAGGCUGUACUUAAGAUGACUGGUUCAGGGAAAGGUUAGAACACUGAGUACACAGCGGCUGCCAAACAAGAUGUGUUUGGUUGAAGGCCUGGCAACAGGAGGACUGCCGUUGAACACCUGACAAUGAGAAAAGCCCCGGGAGAGGUCCCACACCCUGGUGGGGGGCUGAGUCAGCCGUUAUGUUCCAAGAAGGUAGCUAAGAAACUUGCCCCCGGGCUGAACCCUUGGGGGGCCGAGUCAGCCGUUAUGUUUCUGGAAGGUAGCUAGGAAACUUGCCCCCGGGCUAAACCCUUGCCAUAUUAGAAUCCACCAAUUAUAUCCCUGUAACCAUGCAUCUGCUUCUGUAUGCUUGCUUCUGCUCCCCAAAAUCCUAUAAAAGCCCAUCCUUGGUUCCGUGGGGCGCGCCAGUCCCCCGAGUGACUGAAGCGCCCGCAGGUGCCUGUGCCUGUGUAUCCCGACAAUAAACCAAAUCCUCUUGCUGAUUGCAUCCUGUGGUGUCUCGGUCUGGUCUUUGGAGUUGGAGGGUCUCCAUCCUGAGGGAAAGUUCUCCCUGAGAGCUUUUCAUUUGGUGCAUUGGCCGGGAAAGGAGAUCCUCCACCCAGGGACCACCGACCACCCACUGGGAGGUAAGCCGGCCGGCGUCUGUCUGUCUGUCUGAUUUUGUCUCGUUCUGCCUUAUUCUGUCUGUUCUGUGAGCGCUCAGCCAGGUUCUGUGAGCGCUCAGCCAGGUCUGUUCUGUGAGCGCUCAGCCAGGUUGUUUGGAAUUUGGGCGGGACGAAGAAGGAGCUGACGAGCUCGGACUUCUCGCCCCGCAGCCCUGGAAGACGUUCCAAGGGUGUUGGGGCCCGACUUUUCGGGGCCCAAUCUGGGAGAGGAGAAAGAUCCGGACUAACGGCACCUCUGUCUGUAUUUUUGGCUUUCAGAGGGCCCCGGACCUUUGCCACCUCCAUCUGACUUUUUGCUUUCAGUUUGGUACCAAAGCCGUGCAGCACGCCUGUCUGUUGUUUGUUUGACUGUUGGUGUUGUUUGUUUUCUCUGUGUUCUAAUCUUCCUUAGAACUAACAUGGGACAGUCCCUAACAACGCCCCUAAGUCUCACUCUUGAUCAUUGGAAAGACGUCCACGACCGGGCACACAACCAGUCCGUCGAGGUUAAAAAAAAAAGAAAAAUGACAGACUCUCUACACAUCCGAGUGGCCCACUUUCGGAGCGGGAUGGCCAGUGAAUGACACAUUUAAUAAGAUCAUUAUUUUACAGGUUAAAGAUUGGGUCGUCCACGGACAUCCUGACCAGGUUUCUUAUAUUAUCACUUGAGAGAGUCUCGCCUUAAACCCCCCCCCCCCGGGCGGAACCCUUCGUGGACCCGAAUUGGCCUCCCGUCAACCCCCAGCCUGUCCCCUCGGCCCCGCCCGGUCUGCCGGCCACGUCUUCCUCUCUCUACCUUUGUGAAAUCAGAGCCUUCUAAGAAACCUGUCCUCCCGGCAGACCCAAACUCCCCUCUCAUAGAUCUUCUCUCUGACAGGCCCGGCUGAAACGGAGGAGGCAGAGCCGCUGGCCAGAUCAGUUGCCGGGCCACAGUCUGAUAAGGGUUUCUCCCCUGUCGCAGGGAGAUUGCGCAAUAAGCGCGAGGUGAUGCCAGAUUCAACCUCCCAGGCUUUCCCACUUAGACAGGGAACCGGUGGCCAGACCCAAUACUGGCCGUUUUCAGCAGCUGACAUUUACAAUUGGAAACAACACAACCCUUCUUUCUCCAAAGAUCCGGUGACACUCACCGACCUAAUAGAAUCUGUUUUACUUACCCACCAGCCUACUUGGGAUGACUGCCAACAGCUCUUACAGGCCCUCUUAACCUCAGAAAAAAAAAAAAAAAACAAAGAGUGUUCCUAGAGGCCAGAAAGCAUGUUCUGGGAGAUGAUGGGCGUCCCACCCAGCUGCCUGAGGACCAAACUGGGAUUUUAAUACAGCUGAAGCUUCAGGACAACUCAGCGACCGGACGGCCUGGGUACAAAGAGCUACUGGUGAGAAACAAUACCGAUGGACUACGGACCGCCGGGUUCAGCUGGCUACCGGUAAGGUGACCCAUUCCUUCUUACAUGUUCCGGACUGCCCGUACCCUCUGCUGGGCCGUGACCUGCUCACCAAACUAAAAGCACAAAUUCAUUUUGAGGAAAGAGGGGCCCGAAUAACUGGCCCCCACGGAACUCCCCUUCAAGUUCUAACCCUAUGAACCGGGACAGGACACUGGCUUGGGCAGAGACUGGUGGGAUGGGGUUGGCGCUCCAACAGCCCCCCUUAAUUACAACUCCAGUCUCCAUAAAACAAUACCCCCUGUCACAUGAAGCUUAUCAAGGUAUAAGGCCUCACAUUAUGAGGCUUCUGGAUCAAGGCAUCCUAGUCCCCUGCCGGUCGCCUUGGAAUACGCCUCUUCUGCCUGU